ACCCCACUCUCUCUCUCUCUCGUGCACGUAACCCACCUAACCCCUCUUUCCCUCCUCUCUCUCUCUCGGGAACCCUAGCGCUCCACUCCUCCCUUGCCGCCGCCACCUCCGGCGGGAAUCAAAGACCAUGUCCGGCGAGAUCUGGCGCGCGCAGUGAGAUCCAUCUCUCUCUCACACACGAGAAGGAAAAUCCCCCGCCCCAUUCCCACGACUGAUCUACCUCUCCCUCGAUCCCCUUCCUUCCCGAGGAUGCACGCGCCACCGCCUCCCCGAUCCCCUUCUCCCCUCGCCCCCCCACAUCACGCCGCCAUCCACCUCGUCGCCUCCCAGAUUCAUCCUCCUCCUCCUCCUAUUCCCCUCGUCAGAUCCAUCCAUCCAUUCAUUUUUCCAUCAGAUCCACCUGACGCCAUCGCAUCCCCUUCUCGCUCGCAGGGUUGCAGGCGAUUCGAUCUGGUCCGGGUCCAUGGCGUCCAAGGCCGUGGAGGCGCUACCAGUGACGGACGAGCUGGCCCUACCGCUCCGUGCGGGGGGGGGGGGGGGGGGGGGGGGGGGCGGCAGCGGGGAAGCACGCAGCUGCGCAGCGUCCGCGUGAGGUUUCAGUGAGCGGCCGCAUUGCUGCGGCAGGAGGACCAACGCGCGCUUCCGAAGACGAGGCUCCAUCGCGCGAACCAAGACACGGACUUGACAGGAUGGCUCUGCGGGACUCCAGCAUCAGAAGCAGCGGUUGGGGCCACGCGGUGACCCCGGGACGCCGCUGCCCGAUUCCGGCAUGAAGGCAACCUCGCGCAAAUCAUGGCGGCCUUGACCAAGAAGGAGGGGUCCGUGCCGCGCGGCGGACGGUGGUGAGCGUCGGUGCUGGCGAGUUUGGGUCAGUACGUCACGGCGGCGGCGAGCCUGCUCGGCGGCCCAUGAUUGGACCUUGGAGCCGCGCGAAGAGAAGGGGAUCCACUCCAAACCCAGGAUAGGACAAGGUGGCGAACUCACUGUUUGAGAAGAGGUCGAACCAGUUAGGCAUCGGCUGCGCGCUACCGCCCAAGAAGGACCUCCACCUGUUCGCCAGCGCCACAUACUCAAGCAGCGCAUCCGUGCCCAGCCGCGGUUGUUUUUGCCCAUUUAUGUUGUUGCUUUAGUAGCAUUCUUUCCUUUCUUUUAUGUAGAAGCAGAGCACCACUCUUACUAUGCACUUCUCUCCAGAUGCUGCUACAAUUACAAAUUUAAAAUGCAUUCAUGCAUGAGCAGUGCAUGUGUUGGCUGUCCAUGAGAUCAUGAAUAGUAUGAGCCGUAGAGUCUUGUUCGAACUCA